CCCAGUAGCACCCCUUUUUCUCCAUGAGCUGCUGGUGGGUUCCCCCCUCCCGGAUAGCGCCUCCUUCCAGAAAGAGGAUGUGGUCAGCCUGCUCCACCAGGCUGAGGUGCUGGGUGAUGAGAAGCACUGAGCGGGAGUACCGCUCAGGGCUUUCGUACAGGAGCUGCUCCACCUGAGGAAAGACAUCGGACCGUCAGAGCCGGGGACUACCCUCAGCCCAGGGAGACACCUGUGUUUCCAGGGCUGGGACUGACCUCACAGGAUCACUGCUGGCUCUGCUAACAACCCCAAGGACACCAACGUUUCCCAUUCUGAGUACUUCUCCGCAAACCCUUUGUUUCAUUAAGGACUGUUUUACAUGAAGGGUGCAAAAGUAGGAUAAAAAUGAGAACCCUAGGGUGAAACACGUGACAGAAGAAUAAAGACUAUUGAAUAGUCCUCUUCUCUACCCAUGGACUUGGCAUUUUUAUAUUCGAUUUUAAGGAAAUAUAACUUAGUAGUAAAGAGAUGAGCAUUCAAGUCAGGCAGACCUGAAUUUGGGUCAAGGCUGCGCCACUCAAAAGCUAUAUGACCUCUAUAUGAGCAGCUUAUUCAACCUCUUUUAACCUCCAUUUUGUCAUCUGUAGAAUGAUGAUAAAUGCCUAGCUCAGAAGGAUUCCUAAUGAAUAAAUGAGUGACAGUGCAUGUAAACAGACUAGCUUAAUUAAUAUUAAUAUGAUUAGGAUGGGCUGGGCCCGGUGGCUCAUGCCUAUAAUCCUAGCACUUUGGGAGGUCAAGGAGGGAGGAUCACUUGGGCCCAGGAGUUCAAGGCCAGCCUGGGCAACAUAGCGGGACGCUGUCUGUACAAAAAAUAAUUUUUUUAAAUAAACGAUAUUAUGAGGAUGGUCUUUUCCUUAUGUUUCGCUUUAGAAAUUCAGUCUAUAGGACUGGGCGCAGUGGCUCACACCUAUAACCCCAGCCCUUUGGGAGGCUGAGGGGGGCAGAUUACCUGAGCUCAGGAAUUCAAGGCCAGCCUGGGCAACAUGGUGAAACCCAUCUCUACUAAAAAUAUAAAAGUCAACCAGGCAUAGUGGUGUACACCUGUAGUCCCAGCUACUCGGGAGGCUGAGGGGAGAAUCGCUUGAGCCCAGCAGGUUGAAGCUGCAGUGAGCCAAGAUUGUGCCACUGCGCUCCAGCCUGGGCAACUGAGUGAGACACUGUCUUAAAAAAAAAAAAGGAAAGAAAGAAAGAAAUUCAGUCUGUAGUUUGUAGAUAGUCUCUUUUAACUGAUUCUAGGUGUCUUUGCCUCGUCUUCUAUCUCUACUCCUUGGGGAGGCAUCCAAUGGAACUGGAUUUGGGAACUGAGAACUGCAAGGACUGGUUUGUAUAAUUAUGAUGUUAGUAAAACUAACAGAAGAUGUAUAAAAGAAGCAAGAUUGGGUGGGAUAUAGCCAUUAAGAAGAUGACUGCCUCACCUGUAACUGGCUGUUUGCAUCCAGGGCACUGGUGGCA
rnacentral:lncRNA from 10 species